GAGGUUUCCAGACGGGCAUGUAGG
rnacentral:piRNA from 1 species